GUUUGAUCCUGGCUCAGGAUGAACGCUAGCGGCAGGCUUAACACAUGCAAGUCGAGGGGUAGGUUACUUCGGUAACUGAGACCGGCGCACGGGUGCGUAACGCGUAUACAAUCUACCUUUUACAGAGGGAUAGCCCAGAGAAAUUUGGAUUAAUACCUCAUAGUAUUUUUGAAUGGCAUCAUUUGAUUAUUAAAGUUCCAACGGUAAAAGAUGAGUAUGCGUCCCAUUAGCUAGAUGGUAAGGUAACGGCUUACCAUGGCUACGAUGGGUAGGGGUCCUGAGAGGGAGAUCCCCCACACUGGUACUGAGACACGGACCAGACUCCUACGGGAGGCAGCAGUGAGGAAUAUUGGACAAUGGGCGCAAGCCUGAUCCAGCCAUGCCGCGUGCAGGAAGAAGGUCCUAUGGAUUGUAAACUGCUUUUAUACAGGAAGAAACACCUCUACGUGUAGAGACUUGACGGUACUGUAUGAAUAAGGACCGGCUAACUCCGUGCCAGCAGCCGCGGUAAUACGGAGGGUCCAAGCGUUAUCCGGAAUCAUUGGGUUUAAAGGGUCCGUAGGCGGCCAAAUAAGUCAGUGGUGAAAGCCCAUCGCUCAACGAUGGAACGGCCAUUGAUACUGUUUGGCUUGAAUUAUUAGGAAGUAACUAGAAUAUGUAGUGUAGCGGUGAAAUGCUUAGAGAUUACAUGGAAUACCAAUUGCGAAGGCAGGGUUACUACUAAUAUAUUGACGCUGAUGGACGAAAGCGUGGGGAGCGAACAGGAUUAGAUACCCUGGUAGUCCACGCCGUAAACGAUGGAUACUAGCUGUUCGGAGCAAUCUGAGUGGCUAAGCGAAAGUGAUAAGUAUCCCACCUGGGGAGUACGUUCGCAAGAAUGAAACUCAAAGGAAUUGACGG
rnacentral:rRNA from 1 species